rnacentral:rRNA from 1 species
UACGGGGGGUGCAAACGUUGCUCGGAAUCAUUGGGCGUAAAGCGCACGUAGGUGGUUUGUUAAGUCGGGUGUGAAAGCCCUGGGCUCAACCCAGGAAGUGCACUCGAAACUGGCAGACUUGAGUACUGAAGAGGGUCGCGGAAUUCCCGGUGUAGAGGUGAAAUUCGUAGAUAUCGGGAGGAACACCAGUGGCGAAGGCGGCGACCUGGGCAGAUACUGACACUGAGGUGCGAAAGCGUGGGGAGCAAACAGG